UGGGGAAUUUUGGACAAUGGGGGAAACCCUGAUCCAGCCAUCCCGCGUGUGCGAUGAAGGCCCUCGGGUUGUAAAGCACUUUUGGCAGGAAAGAAACGUCAUGGGUUAAUACCCCGUGAAACUGACGGUACCUGCAGAAUAAGCACCGGCUAACUACGUGCCAGCAGCCGCGGUAAUACGUAGGGUGCAAGCGUUAAUCGGAAUUACUGGGCGUAAAGCGUGCGCAGGCGGUUCGGAAAGAAAGAUGUGAAAUCCCAGAGCUCAACUUUGGAACUGCAUUUUUAACUACCGGGCUAGAGUGUGUCAGAGGGAGGUGGAAUUCCGCGUGUAGCAGUGAAAUGCGUAGAUAUGCGGAGGAACACCGAUGGCGAAGGCAGCCUCCUGGGAUAACACUGACGCUCAUGCACGAAAGCGUGGGGAGCAAACAGG
rnacentral:rRNA from 1 species